CUCCCUCCUCCCCCUCCCCCUGGAGACUCAAAGGUGAACGAGACCUCGAUCCGCCCUUGCAGCCGCCCGCUGCCCCGGGAUGGACGAUGGGCUGGAAGAGACCUAUCAGGACCAUCAAAGGAAUUACCAGAACUCUACAAAAUCCUGACAGACAAAAUAAUGAAUGAAGGAGCAGGAGAAGAAUAGGAGAGCGUUGGAAAUGAG